GACGAACGCUGGCGGCGUGCUUAACACAUGCAAGUCGAACGGUAAGGCCCUUCGCUUUAUCCCUGCGGCUAACUGGCGAGUAACACGUUGGUGAUUUGCCCUUCUCUUCCGGAUAAUCCUGUAAAACUUGGACUAAUACCCUAUUAGCCCAUGCGCCUCGUGGUGGCUUGUUCAACGCUUUUGCGGUGUGGGAUGGGCCCGCGGCGUAUCGGCUUGUUGGUGGGGUAAUGGCCUACCAAGGCGACGACGGGUAGCCGGCCUGAGAGGGUGACCGGCCACACUGGGACUGAGAUACGGCCCAGACUCCUACGGGAGGCAGAAGUGGGGAAUAUUGCACAAUGGGCGCAAGCCUGAUGCAGCAACGCCGCGUGAGGGAUGACGGCCUUCGGGUUGUAAACCUCUUUCAAUAGGGAAGAAGCGCAAGUGACGGUACCUAUAGAAAAAGCACCGGCAAACUACGUG
rnacentral:rRNA from 1 species